UACGGAGGGUGCAAGCGUUAUCCGGAUUCACUGGGUUUAAAGGGUGCGUAGGUGGGUUGGUAAGUCAGUGGUGAAAUCUCCAGGCUUAACUUGGAAACUGCCGUUGAUACUAUCUGUCUUGAAUACCGUGGAGGUGAGCGGAAUAUGUCAUGUAGCGGUGAAAUGCUUAGAUAUGACAUAGAACACCAAUUGCGAAGGCAGCUACGCUACAUCGGAAUAUUGGACUCUCGAGGCACGAAGCGUGGGAUCAACAG
rnacentral:rRNA from 1 species